UACAGAGGUGGCAAGCGUUGUUCGGAAUUACUGGGCGUAAAGGGCGCGUAGGCGGCCAUCUAAGUCAGACGUGAAAUCCCCCGGCUUAACCUGGGAACUGCGUCUGAUACUGGACGGCUAGAGUAUGGGAGAGGGAUGUAGAAUUCCAGGUGUAGCGGUGAAAUGCGUAGAUAUCUGGAGGAAUACCGGUGGCGAAGGCGGCAUCCUGGACCAUUUACUGACGCUGAGGCGCGAAAGCUAGGGGAGCAAACGGG
rnacentral:rRNA from 1 species